GUGUAGCCGGGCUGAGAGGUUGAACGGCCACAUUGGGACUGAGACACGGCCCAAACUCCUACGGGAGGCAGCAGUAGGGAAUUUUCGGCAAUGGAGGAAACUCUGACCGAGCAACGCCGCGUGAACGAUGAAGUAUUUCGGUACGUAAAGUUCUUUUAUUAGGGAAGAAUAAAUGAUGGAAAAAUCAUUCUGACGGUACCUAAUGAAUAAGCCCCGGCUAACUAUGUGCCAGCAGCCGCGGUAAUACAUAGGGGGCAAGCGUUAUCCGGAAUUAUUGGGCGUAAAGGGUGCGUAGGCGGUUAAAUAAGUUUAUGGUCUAAGUGCAAUGCUUAACAUUGUGAUGCUAUAAAAACUGUUUAGCUAGAGUAAGAUAGAGGCAAGUGGAAUUCCAUGUGUAGUGGUAAAAUGCGUAAAUAUAUGGAGGAACACCAGUAGCGAAGGCGGCUUGCUGGGUCUUUACUGACGCUGAGGCACGAAAGCGUGGGGAGCAAACAGGAUUAGAUACCCUGGUAGUCCACGCCGUAAACGAUGAGUACUAAAUGUUGGGUAAAACCAGUGUUGAAGUUAACACAUUAAGUACUCCGCCUGAGUAGUACGUACGCAAGUAUGAAACUUAAAGGAAUUGACGGGACUCCGCACAAGCGGUGGAUCAUGUUGUUUAAUUCGAAGGUACCCGAAAAACCUCACCAGGUCUUGACAUGCUUCUGCAAAGCUGUAGAAACACAGUGGAGGUUAUCAGUUGCACAGGUGGUGCAUGGUUGUCGUCAGCUCGUGUCGUGAGAUGUUGGGUUAAGUCCCGCAACGAGCGCAACCCUUAUUGUUAGUUGCCAGCACGUAAUGGUGGGGACUUUAGCAAGACUGCCAGUGAUAAAUUGGAGGAAGGUGGGGACGACGUCAAAUCAUCAUGCCCCUUAUGACCUGGGCUACAAACGUGAUA
rnacentral:rRNA from 1 species